UGAAUAGAAGUGGUAAAAGCAGGUAUUUUUGUCUUAUUUCAGUCCUCAGGGGGAAUGUUUUCAACUUUUCCCCAUUCAGUAUAAUGUUGACUGUGGGUUUGUCAUGGAUGGCUUUUAUUACCUUAAGGUAUGUCCCUUCUGUGCCGAUUUUGCUGAGGUUUUUAAUCAUAAAGGAUACUGGAUUAUGUCAAAUGCUUUUUCUGUGUCUAUUGAGAUGAUCAUGUGAUUUUUGUUUUUAAUUCUAUUCAUGUGCUAUAUCACAUUUAUUGACUUGUGUAUGUUAAACCGUCCCUGCAUCCCUGGUAUGAAACCCACCUGAUCAUGGUGGAUUAUCUUUUUGAUAUGCUGUGAGAUUUGGUGAGCUAGUGUUUUGUUGAGAAUUUUUGCAUCUAUGUUCAUCAGGAUAUUAGUCUGUAGUUUUCUUUCUUUCUUUCUUUCUUUUUUUUUUUAUUUUGUUACGUCCUUUCCUGGUUUUGGUAUUAGGGUGAUACGGGCUUCAUAGAAUGAUUUAGAGAGGAUUUACUUUUUCUCUAUCCUGUGGAAUAGUGUCAAUCGGAUUGGUACCAAUUCUUCUUUGAAUGUCUGAUAGAAUUCAGCUGUGAAUUUGUCUGGUCUUGGAAUUUUUUUGUUGGCAUUUUAAAAAAGUUACCAUUUCAAUCUUGCUGCUUGUUAUUGGUCUGCUCAGAGUUUCUAUUUUUUCCUUGUUUAAUCUAGGAGGGUUUUAUAUCUCUAGAAGGUUAUCCAUCUCCUCUAGGUUUUCUACUUUGUCUUCAUAAAGGUAUUCAUAGUAGCCUUGAAUUAUCUUUUGCAUUUCUGUGUUAUUGGUUGUAAUAUCUCCCAUCUUGUUUCUAAUUGAGCUUAUUUGGAUAUUCUUUCUUCUUGGCUAAUCUUGCUAAUGGUUUAUCAAUUUUAUUUAUCUUUUCAAAGAACCAGCCUUUUGUUUCAUUUGUCUUUUGUGUUUUUUUGUUUCAAAUUCAUUUAGUUCUGCUGCACUGAUCUUUGUUAUUUCUUUUCUUCUGCUGGGUUUGGUUUGUUUUUGUUUCUGUAGUUCCUUAAGGUGUGAACCGAGAUCAUCUAGUUGUGCUCUUUCAGACUUUUUGAUGUGGGCCUUUAAGGCUAUGAACUUUCCUCUUAGCACUGCUUUUGCUGUAUCCCAAAGUUUUUUUUUUUUUUUUUAGACGAAGUCUUGCUCUGUUGACAGGCUGGAGUGCAGUGGUGUGAUCUCGGCUCACUGCUACCUCCACCUCCCAGGUUCAAGUGAUUCUCCAGCCUCCACUUUCUGAGUAGCUGGGACUAC
rnacentral:lncRNA from 10 species